UUUCGCCCGGGCCCGGGCCAGGCUUGGCUUGGCUUGGCCUGGGCAGGCAUUUCUUUUCUUGUGGACUGUCUUGGUAUUUCUAUAGAGAUUUCACGUGCUGGCCAACAAGCCAACAAGCCACAGACUUUCAGAUGAUUGGACAGGCGCAGACAGACAGAUCCGCGACCGGAGAUAAGCCUAUCCAAAAAGGGGGUAAACAACUACAAUGCUGACAUUAUUGUGACGGCCGGACGGAGAUUUAUGUUUUAAUUGCCAACCUCCUUUUUAUCUCAUAUGUGAGUGAAUGAAAGUGCGGAAAGCUCUCGGAAAGUCAGUCGUCAAAGGAAAGGAUCUGGCGGAUAGGAAUGCCUUACCAUAAACGCCUUUCAAGCCCGACAACAUGAACAAUUUUUGAGAUAUUUUUAAUACUUGUAGUUCCUUGCUUUCUCAGGCUUACAAGGCCAUUUAAUAAAUACCCUAUUUUGUUAUAGUUUCUGUAAGAAUAAA